GUGGAACUUUCAACUGCUUGAAUUCCUAAAUAUAAGCUAAAUACCCUACCAAAUUGCUAGAAUUGUCUUCGUAUGAAUCAAAGAAAAUAUCUUUGAAAUGAAUAACCUCUAGAAACAAUGAUUCAAUAAUAUGCGAAAAACAAAACCAUCAUCCAACGACUAACAUAUUUGUCACAACCAAGAAGGAUAUGGCAAAUGGUCUCAUCAUGAAUCUCGGAGCAAGGACACGAUGACAAACAAUGAACUACACACAUACACAUAUGCAAUGAAGUUAUAGUUUGGAAUCUAGAAACAAAAUUAGGAGACAAUAUAUUAUUGAAGACUUUAGCUCUCCCCAUUGAAUCCUUCUUCUUUUAGAUUAUUCUGUACUAGAUAUUUCACUUUGUAAUUCCUCCAAAGGGAAUGUUUUCAUGGUACUUGUUGUUAAUUCCAUCAUUAUCAAAUACUCUUACUGCACUUUCUUGUUGGAUUUUCUCUUCCGUGGAAGCUAGAAAACUCGCAAGCACAUGAACAAAGUCAAUUACAAUCA